UCAAUUAUGCCUUAUCGGGGUAAUACUGGAACAAAAUAAGAACGUAGAAUAUGUUUACAUGUGCACAAAUAAUGUGAUUAUUUCCAAUAAUCAGAGUAGGGCAUAAUCGCAGUUAGAUGUUUGUUACACAAACAAACCUCUCUUGUUUACAUGCAAUUUUUCUAAUUAUUCGCUACACUUUCAGAAAAAAAGCAAUAAAAAUAAACAAAAAUAAUGUGUACUAUUUAAGUACUAAUGUGCACCCUUUUGGUGUCACAAUGGGUCAAGGAGGCAAAAGGGCAGAUUCAAACAAGCCGGCAAGUUUAUUAAGGCAACUGAGGAGAAGCUUCCAACAUAGGAAAAUCAAAACUGAGGUGAUCAACGGAAGCAGAGAACAGUCUUAUCUGAACUGAGACUUCUAGUCCUUCAAUAGAUAGCAGAGGGUUCUAGAAUCGAUAGGCUGACAGGUAGGCAAAUGGCCCGCUGAGAAACUUGUAACCUUGAGAUCAGCUGACGAGGUGAGUGUGUAUACAGUAUAUAGCAUGGGAAAAUGAGGUGAUCAGUAAAAGGUAUGCUGAUUAGGGACAAGGUGUAGGUGUGAACCAGACAGGCUGUUUGGAAAUGUAGUUCUGGGCUGGUGACUGAGCUAGUGAGAGGGCUGGUGACUGAGAAUGUGACAGUACUGCCCCUCCCCAAAGGUGUGUCCUCACGCAGUAUUGGGACCUUGGUGGAGAAAGGGGGACCCAUGGCGGAGCAGGCAGAGGGAGGAUCCAUGGCUGAGACAAGGGUAACCAAGGUGGAGCUGACGACCACCAGAGUACAGAAGAGGGAAGUCUCCAUGGAGGAGCAGAUGACCACCAGAGUACAGGAGUUGGGUUUAGGGAUUUGACUUCCAUUGAAGGAAAAACAUCUCUCCUGGUCGUGACAAGGAGAGUUGACAGACUGGCACGCCUGAUCAUGACCAAGGAACUGGAUCCACUGGGAAUGGCACUCCUGGCUGAAAUUGGGAAACUGGAUCCCCU
ensembl:lncRNA